rnacentral:rRNA from 1 species
CGUUUGACCUCGGAUCAGGUAGGGAUACCCGCUGAACUUAAGCAUAUCAAUA